CUACAUCAAGAGUUAAGGAUAAAGUGAAAUUGAGCCAGCGGCUUCAGAAUUUCUCGGAAAUCAGCUGACCCACAGCUGCCCUGACUGGCGGGAGCUUUUCCGAACGCCAUUGGCCCCACAGAGCAUAAACAAGAUUUUGUUGUCGUGGAGUGUCGGGGUACCGGGAUUAGAGCAGACUCAUCGCUGAUCUCGCUCCUGUCCAGCUGCCAUGAGCUUUCUUCCAGUUGCCGUGGCAUACUUCGCAGUUCUGGUCAUAGGCGCUGCAAUUUUGGCAGUUGCAAUGAAUCAGCCCAUGGAAGCCUCUGUGAAUGCCAGGGGUGCACAUGGUGAUCCUGGGGGGAAACAAAAGACCGGCCCCCCAGGCUGCAGCCAAUGCCUUGCUGAGAAGAAGAAAGCCUGAUUACCAUGGCCAGUGAACAGAAGGGGCUGCAUAAACGGCCUGACUCUGCCCUUAGGGCAGCAGCUGAUUGCAUGCUGGCGCAGAAACAGCUCCCUAUGUUCAAUGCAAGGGAGCAAAAGCAAGAUUCCUUCCUUCCAAGCACACGGGUUCAUCUUCAAACGCCUGGGGCUGGAAAGUCCAAUCCCUCCCACAGCUUCUGCUUUCAAUGAUUUGGAGCAGUAGAUAAGCAAUAAAUUAACAGUGCUGGUG